rnacentral:tRNA from 1 species
UCGGGGAUGGUCUAAUGGCAGGACAGGGGACUUUGGAUCCCUUAGUCGAGGUUCGAGUCCUCGUCCCCGAG